rnacentral:tRNA from 1 species
UACCCGGUGGUGUAAUCGGCAACACUUCUGAUUUUGGUUCAGACAUUCCUGGUUCGAGUCCAGGCCGGGUAGCCA